CCUACGGGAGGCAGCAGUAGGGAAUCUUCCACAAUGGGCGAAAGCCUGAUGGAGCAACGCCGCGUGGGUGAAGAAGGUCUUCGGAUCGUAAAACCCUGUUGUUAGAGAAGAAAGUGCGUGAGAGUAACUGUUCACGUUUCGACGGUAUCUAACCAGAAAGCCACGGCUAACUACGUGCCAGCAGCCGCGGUAAUACGUAGGUGGCAAGCGUUAUCCGGAUUUAUGGGGCGUAAAGGGAACGCAGGCGGUCUUUUAAGUCUGAUGUGAAAGCCUUCGGCUUAACCGGAGUAGUGCAUUGGAAACUGGGAGACUUGAGUGCAGAAGAGGAGAGUGGAAUGCCAUGUGUAGCGGUGAAAUGCGUAGAUAUAUGGAAGAACACCAGUGGCGAAAGCGGCUCUCUGGUCUGUAACUGACGCUGAGGUUCGAAAGCGUGGGUAGCAAACAGGAUUAGAUACCCCAGUAGUC
rnacentral:rRNA from 1 species